UACGUAGGGCGCAAGCGUUGUCCGGAAUUAUUGGGCGUAAAGAGCUCGUAGGCGGUCUGUCGCGUCGGCUGUGAAAACUUGGGGCUCAACCCCAAGCCUGCAGUCGAUACGGGCAGACUAGAGUGCGGUAGGGGAGACUGGAAUUCCUGGUGUAGCGGUGAAAUGCGCAGAUAUCAGGAGGAACACCGGUGGCGAAGGCGGGUCUCUGGGCCGUAACUGACGCUGAGGAGCGAAAGCGUGGGGAGCGAACAGG
rnacentral:rRNA from 1 species